rnacentral:guide_RNA from 1 species
AACAACAAAUACAGAUUCGAGUAAGUGAUAUAGUAAUAUGAUAUUU